rnacentral:tRNA from 1 species
ACAUUGGUGGUUCAGUGGUAGAAUUCUCACUUUCUGUGAGGGAGAUCUGGGUUUGAUUCCCAUCCAAUGUA